UGCUGCUGAUGCAACUUGACUGAAUCAGUUUAGCCUAUACGUCGAUAUGUCGUCAAUAUUCAGGUUCGCUUAUCCGGUACAAUAUGGCCAGAUUAUGAUUCGAUACUUCUGCGCCGCAGCUGCAUGCGGAAAUGGCAUCGAAAAAGGGGGAAAAGUGAUGAGUCCAUCGAGAGGUGCCACUGCGUGAAUAGAUUAGAAUAUCGGGAAUGAGGCGCGGCAAGAACAUUUCUCAUCCGUAUAAAUGUAUACUACCGCCCCUGCUUUUUUUUUGUCUUUUUGAGAUACAUCCAAUCGACGAGUCUGUUUUUGUGCAGAGUAAAAAAGACAAUAGGAGCGAAACGUCAUCAUGGCGCACGUGACGAGGUCGAUUGCGUUUAGAAAAUGGGCCAUGGACCAUUUCGAGGUUUGGGGCUGCUGCUGCUGCUGCGGAUUAUUUAUCACAAAAGAAGACGUCGUCGUCGUCGCCUUUUGACUAGAACUGCUGCUGCUGCAAACACAAUUCACCUUGAUGGACGUUUCCCUUUUCUUUUGCCUUUGCCAUUCUCUCGCUUUUAUUUCUCUCUCCAUUCUGUGUCGACCAACUGAUUGACAGAAAAAAGAGAACAAGAGAAAAAGAAUUGCGCAAGCGCUUCGUUUACAAAUCUCGCUAAGAAAAACAUACAUUCAACCAAACGGGCCCAACUAUUUUAUUCAUUAUUCGACGAAUGUGACUGGGUUCAACCGACCCAUUCCAAGAUAGACGCCACAAAAGUUUUCAUUUGACCCUUCUUUCUUCUUUUCUUCUUUUUCUGAUUAUUUUCACAAAGUGACAAAAUAAAAAUAUGGGGGAAGCCCAGACAUGCAAAUGUAUGGGGUAAAGAAACUUUGUUGUUCGGGGUCUUUUGAAAGUUGCUAGUCGCUAUAGAAUCUAGCAUUUGGAGUCCCGUGUGAUUUUGGUGUGUGUGUGUGCACAGUCAUGAUAUUCCGUGUUGAUGGUGGGCACGAAUAGAAAUGGCCCGGCUUGAGCGCCUCUUGUGUUGUGUUUCCGUGUUGACCGUUAUCGAUUGGGGGGUGCAGCUUACGUACUCUCCUCUGUACUGUACGUACAGUCCCGGUCCGUCUCUUCUCUCUGGCUGGCCAUCAGCUCUUGUUGCCUAUAUUGCGCUGCUGCUGUUGCCGUCCUGAUUCAAUAGACUUUCCUUUUCCUUUUUUUCCCCCUUUUUUCUUCUAUUUCUUUGACGGUCCUUUUUGGUCAUAGCACGCAGCUAUAGCUGGCCAAUCGCUCUUAUAUAUAUAUAUUCUCCUUGCCCUAUAUAGCCUCUUGCAUUACGUGAUGUAUGUGCCAUUUUCGACGAGUGGAAAACUUGGAAGGAAGGAGCAAUCAAAGCGGAGCUACUCUAUAUUGACGAUCUAGAGGAAAAACAGAAACACACACACACUAGAGAGAGAGAGGAUGACAGCUACUAGUCAGGUCCUGUGCGCGCGCGCACUCCAUACGGUUUAGUGCUGUGGGUCCUGUGUUUGUGUGUAUCUAUGUAAUAUUCAAACUUUUGGCGAGAAGGGAGGGGGUGGGGAUUUAGGUCCGUCUGGCUAUAGCAGCAGUGCUACUUCAUCGAUCUUUUUUUGGCCGAGAGAGAGAGUCAGAUAGAAAUGGAUAAUCCAAUUUACUUUUUGCGCCAUCCAGUUUUGAUAAAAGCUCAACUUGCUCUGCCAACAUCAAACGCGCCAAAAGGCAACUUUUUGGUUUCGCCGUGAACCCCUGGCUCCACUUUAUUGUUGCUGAUACUGUUGCCUGAUAUACAUUUGGCCAACCUUCGUGUUUUUGUUUUCUGCCCUUUAAGUCCGCGGACAGUCUUUCCUUAUCAUCAGCAGCCGGGCUCUCACUGUCAAAAAGUUUUCCAUCCAAUAAAUAAAUAUCUCUUCUAUCCGGGGAACUGUAUACGUAAGCUUCACGGGAAACACCAAAUUGGCCAUGGGGCGUGGUGGUGGUGGUGGUUAGGUGGAGUUCGGCAGUACCGGUGCAACAAAAUGCCAUUCUCUAUCAGUGGCCAUGAUUAGCCGCGGGAUAAGGUGAAAUGUGCGUUGUUUUAUGCCUGCUGGCGCCGUUAUGUUCAAAAUUUGACAACUUUGUCGAUUUCUAUUUGUAUAUUUCUACGCGCACUGGAAAAAAAAAAUUUUUCUUGGAGUAUUAGAAUAAUGUGUCACGAUUAAUUAACAAAUUGAUUGGGGUAAUGUCUGGAUAGUAAGUGAAAACGACUGCCCGGAAUAUAACCCUGUGGGUUGCGCACCUUUCUUCUUUUUCUUUUCUCCGCUGUCUGUGUGAUCUAAUGGUCCGGUCUUGUAUUGCUUUUGCUGGAGAUUACGAGAAAUAGAAAUAGAAAGAUACAGCAAUCGCCAAGAGUAUUUAGGGAAAGGCAUAAAAGCAAAAAGAGGAGAGAAAGAAAAAAAAAAAGGACGAGUAGUAAUCAAUUUCCACAUUUAGUGUGCAGGGGCAGAAGGAGAGACCGUCCCGUAAUGAGAGUGGAUGUGAGCGCAGCGGUAACGAACGCGACCCGCCCGGUAACCAAUGCACCGCGCGUGUCGCUCUUACUUGUACAACCUCAAAUAAAAACCCCAGCCCUUUUUCUUUUUUCUUUUUGGCCUUCUCUCUCUUUCAUCGACGACCACCCACCGACCACUUUCCCGAUCGUUUUCUAUAUAUUAUUGUAAUCCGGACUACAAUAUCCCCUGCUAUGUACAGUUGCGUAUGCUCCGUCUCUUUUGUUCACGUCAACAUUGCAAAGUGUUAUUCUUUUUCAAAAUAGACGGGGGCCUUGACAAUUGGUGGAUAGUACCAGCGAACUUGAAUACAAUCAGCCCCAACGAGGUCAAUCAAGUGAGUUGCUGUUCCACAUAUACGUAGUAGAACCAUCCAUCUGGCGCAUAAAACGCCCAACCGAGUUGACACGUUCCAUCAUUGUUUUAUUCGCUGUAGGCGCCACACGAGUUUGCGAAAUGGAUAGGAAGAAGAUAGCUAGACAAUUUAGGUUCGUGUUUCCACCGAGUUUCAUUUCGUUAAAAAGUAAUAUUUACAGCGGCCCAAUAUUGAGCAGCCUGGCGUGGAACAUAUUGCUUUUCGACGGGUGCAGGGAGUACAGAGGGAGCGGAUGCGUGGUGGAGCAUAUACCCAUCAUCAUGUCGUUGUUGUGAUAAUUAAGACGGAUAAGUAUACAAUAUAGAAGUGUGCUGGGAGUAUUUCUUAUAUUUUUAACCGCUCACCAGUCACCACGGAGGCAAGAGAAAAACUCGAGCUGGUAUUAAAAACGGCAAUCGUUUGGGGUUAUCCCGCUAUCAAAUUAUUCCUUCAAAGUGCCAAAAAAUUGAGAGAGGUGAUGAAAUGGAGUGAUGACAUGUCAACGGCGGACGGCGAAUAACCCGACACAUUUUGCAUGACUAUAUGUAUAUUUACACCAUGCAGGGGUUGACACAAAUAUGACAUUUGCUGGUAAGGCACGUAAUGGAGCGGUGACCACAUAAGAGGAUUCGUUGUACAAGAAGUAUGUCAAGGAGCGAGAACGGAAACAUUUAACCAAAACCCAAAUAUUCCUCCCCAAGUUCCUUCCUUUACAUGUUAAGUGCUAAAAAAAAAGGGAAACAACCACAAAGUUGGCAACGUUUUCCACCAUUAUAUCCUUUCCCCCUUUCUAUUGAACUUUGACUUUAUCGGACUUUAAGUUCACACAUAGUGAGACCCCUCGGCCGUAGCAGUUUAAACCUUUUUAAAAUACAGAAUGGAUUGAAGGCAACUGCAUUUGAUGCCUUUUCCUCCUUUUUCAUUUGCACUGAUUAUUAUUAAAUUAUUCAUUUUUUUUUUUUAGCGGAUAAAAAGUUAGGAAGAUCGUGUUCAAUAUCCUUUGACUCGCCAACUGGUAGAGUCGUUCUAUAGGCACACGGACCGCUGAACGAAUGGAGAUGGUAAAUAUGCGCCAUUAACUUGCUGUUCUCACUGAUGUUCAAUCGAGGGAAAUAAAAGAAAAAGUGGAAGCAGAUGAUAACCGGACUGAUUCCGAUCAAUUGAGAAUUUUCUCAAAUGACGACAAAAAUAUGUGCUACCCCACCCACAUCCUACUGGGAGUGACCAGUCCUAUUUGUCUUUUAUCUCAGAAAUGUACUCCGAAUAGUUACCAAAAGGGUUUUUCUAAACAUUUUUUUUUCUCUUUCCGUUUCCACUAGGAUUGCUUUAGUUGUCGGUCGUCUCGCUAGAUGGCACAAUCGAAAAGGUUAUUUGUACGCCGCUAGGUGGCUAAAAGUGUGUCCAACUCCAACACAUGUCCAACAGGUGGCGCGAAUCGAUAAACACUAACAUUCAUUCACAGUAUUCAGCCAUUUUUGUUGUGUUGGGUUUCCAACUUUCCUAGUGAAAUUUUGUUGCUAUACAAUACAAUACAAUUUAAUUUCUCGACAUUUCGCGUCAUUAACAUUAAAAAGGUUUUCUAGCCUAUAAUUUCCAUUUGCAUUUGGUCAAUUGAUUUGAUCGGGCGAGUCUUGAAACCUUUGUAAAAUUUCCCGAAAUGUCGUGCCUGUACCAGUUGUCGUGUUACCUCCUGCAGAAACACUUUACAUGGAAAGUAUAUUGAAGUCAUUUUGAGACACUACAUAGUUUUGGUUACUCCCAGUAUGUCCAAUGUGUAGCAUGACUAGCAUCACAUUGAUUGUUCGGAUGACGCUGAGCUACCUCAUAGCACUUCUGCCCGAUUCAGCUUUUCCGUCCAGUCAUGACAUCUAACAGCAUGUUGAAGUCUGAGCUUCUUCAAUGCAGUCCAAUGUGCUCAUGAAUUUGUUGCAGCCAGCUGGCGAAAGAUGUUCCUCUUCAAGGCUUGCAACCUGUGCUGGUUGUAAAUUUUGUCAUGUACAGAAACAAUUUUAAAGUGGUGCUGCCGUGUCAUGAAGAUGCCUGUUCGAGAGGGUCUCUACUAUAUUGCAAGACAGAAAUUAUGUGAGCAAAACAGGAAAUCUGAAAUGGUGUUCAUGGGGUAUUGCAGUCAUUUUCCAGUUAAGAGAUGUACUGAAAUGGAGCUUCGUUUUGUCGAUAUCGUCGACUCUUGCUACAGGCGUUGAGUUCAAUCGUUUGCUGCCGUUCCGUUCCAUAGACUUGAUCCAUCGGUGAACUGAGGUUGCUGAAAUUCAAGACUCGUCAAGAAAUUAUGUAGAUGUAGAUAAAAUUACAAGUGCAUAUCUGGGCUCCCUUCUUUUCUCUGGCCCCGUUUCCCUAACUAUAACCACUAACCAACGCCCGCCGGUGGUCACUCGCCCGCUGUG